rnacentral:lncRNA from 10 species
GUGACUUCCAAGACUAGGCCAGAAGAGGCAUUUGAGGGUUUCUGCUUUCUUUCUCUCAGGUCACUCCCUCUGGAGGAAACCAGCUGCCACUUUGUGAGGAUACUCAUAGUCCUGUGGAGGCAUAUCCUCCAUAUGGCUGAGACCUCCUGCGAACAACCAUCACUGACUUGCCAGACAUGAGUGUGCCACCUUGGAAGCAGAUUUUCCAGCCCCAGUUAAGCCUUCAGAUGACAUCAGCCCCUGCUAAUCUCUUGACUACAACCUCAUGAGAGACCCUGAGCCAGAACUAGCCAGUGCUCCCUGGGAAGCACUGAUCUUGGAUUUGGCUGCUGUGUGGGAGACCAGUGUUCCUCUUA